UACGUAGGGUGCAAGCGUUGUCCGGAAUUAUUGGGCGUAAAGAGCUCGUAGGCGGUUUGUUGCGUCGGCUGUGAAAUCCCGAGGCUCAACCUCGGGUCUGCAGUCGAUACGAGCAAACUAGAGUGUUGCAGGGGAGACUGGAAUUCCUGGUGUAGCGGUGAAAGGCGCAGAUAUCAGGAGGAACACCGGUGGCGAAGGCGGGUCUCUGGGCAACAACUGACGCUGAGGAGCGAAAGCAUGGGGAGCGAACAGG
rnacentral:rRNA from 1 species